rnacentral:rRNA from 1 species
AUUGAACGCUGGCGGCAUGCUUUACACAUGCAAGUCGAACGGCAGCACAGGGAGCUUGCUCCCGGGUGGCGAGUGGCGCACGGGUGAGUAAUACAUCGGAACGUGUCCUGUUGUGGGGGAUAACUGCUCGAAAGGGUGGCUAAUACCGCAUGAGACCUGAGGGUGAAAGCGGGGGAUCGCAAGACCUCGCGCAAUUGGAGCGGCCGAUGCCCGAUUAGCUAGUUGGUGAGGUAAAGGCUCACCAAGGCGACGAUCGGUAGCUGGUCUGAGAGGACGACCAGCCACACUGGGACUGAGACACGGCCCAGACUCCUACGGGAGGCAGCAGUGGGGAAUUUUGGACAAUGGGGGCAACCCUGAUCCAGCCAUGCCGCGUGCAGGAUGAAGGCCUUCGGGUUGUAAACUGCUUUUGUCAGGGACGAAAAGGACCGUGUUAAUACCAUGGUCUGCUGACGGUACCUGAAGAAUAAGCACCGGCUAACUACGUGCCAGCAGCCGCGGUAAUACGUAGGGUGCAAGCGUUAAUCGGAAUUACUGGGCGUAAAGCGUGCGCAGGCGGUUCUGUAAGACAGAUGUGAAAUCCCCGGGCUCAACCUGGGAAUUGCAUUUGUGACUGCAGGACUAGAGUUCAUCAGAGGGGGGUGGAAUUCCAAGUGUAGCAGUGAAAUGCGUAGAUAUUUGGAAGAACACCAAUGGCGAAGGCAGCCCCCUGGGAUGCGACUGACGCUCAUGCACGAAAGCGUGGGGAGCAAACAGG